rnacentral:rRNA from 1 species
CCUACGGGAGACUGCAGUGGGGAAUAUUGGGCAAUGGGCGCAAGCCUGACCCAGCAACGCCGCGUGAAGGAAGAAGGCUUUCGGGUUGUAAACUUCUUUUAAGAGGGAAGAGCAGAAGACGGUACCUCUUGAAUAAGCCACGGCUAACUACGUGCCAGCAGCCGCGGUAAUACGUAGGUGGCAAGCGUUGUCCGGAUUUACUGGGGGUAAAGGGCGUGCAGCCGGGAAGACAAGUCAGAUGUGAAAUCCCGCGGCUCAACCGCGGAACUGCAUUUGAAACUGUUUUUCUUGAGUACCGGAGAGGUCAUCGGAAUUCCUUGUGUAGCGGUGAAAUGCGUAGAUAUAAGGAAGAACACCAGUGGCGAAGGCGGAUGACUGGACGGCAACUGACGGUGAGGCGCGAAAGCGUGGGGAGCAAACAGGAUUAGAUACCCGGGUAGUC